CGGGCAAGCCAUUCUCGACACGCUCGCCCCCCGAAAAAGUAAACAUGGCUACUGAAAAACAGAGAAGGAAAAGAAAAAAAAAUCGAAACGACGUCGCUAUUCGACAAUCCUCGCACAGGAACUGAAACGGUAGAUAACAGCGUUUGAUCAGAUGGUGAAUGCGAUGUCCUGAUGAUGCAUCUUCGUUCCGGAUUGCCUUGGGUCGGCUUUCAAUGCGGCGAACGAGAUGCGGUGUCCCGUGUGCCGCGCGGCGGAGGAAGGGGUCUGGAGGAGCUUCCUGACCAGAGCUCCUCGCGGCGGCAGGGCGGGUGCCCGCGCUGCCCAGGAAGAUGUGCCGGAGCCCGCCGUCCGAAUGGUGCAUCUACUAUCACCAAUGCCAACUCAGUUGGAUCUUGGGCGUAUCUGGGGGUUAAAUGGAUCAAAUCUCAAGAAGACUCAUGUUUGAACUUUAUCGGUCAAUAAGGGUGGCAAUAUUGGACAUGACUUGCUUAUGAGUCAACUGUCCCGAGGCAAGGUGAAAUAUGUAGUAGGUGCGAGCAUAUAGAAAUACCUGAAUCGAAAACCUCUUGGACCAAACUGAACUGGUUUUGGGCAAUUUUAGGGGGCGUCGGUCCAGCUCUUGGUUUCAUAAAAUUGGAACCAGUGAUUUUCGGUCCGAUUCUAGGGUGGAAACUAGACCACCCAGAUCGGACCGAUAAAUAUAUAAUAUAAGUAAAUUUUAAACCUAAACUAUAAUCUCCUCUCACGCCUCGCUUAUUCCAGAUGUUUCUUUUAUAUUGUUGCACUGAUUUAUCCAACUUGCUCCUUUUGCUCUUGCUUCUUUCUUUACUUUCUUUCUUUUUUCCUGCAAAGAUUCACUGAUUUUACCUCCCUCGCUUAUUUGUGCCUUCCUUAAACUUGCGAGUCCAUCAUUUAUGAAAAAAAGAGUCCACCGAAUCCUCCUCCUUUUUUCAAGCAUGCCCCUCCAAUCACAGCCCCAUCAUCUCUCAGUCUUCUUCACAAGUCUUGGACAUAAUAUUAGUUUCAAAUUAUGACCUGGAUUGACAUUUCAAUUGAUCCAAAACUUUCAGCCAAGAUAUGUGAAUCCACCAACUCUAUUGGACCAUUUUGACCGGUCUCAAGACCAAGUGGUCCAUUUCCUGAUUCCAAAAUGGGUAACCAGUCCUCCUAGUCCCAUUCCCAAUUCCUAGUUCUUGGGUGGGACCAGAUAGGUUCAGGAACUAGUCACCCUAAUGUGUAGGGAGAAUCACCAAAGAUGACAUGACAUGCUACGUUUGACUCAUAUACUAGGAUUAGAACAUGUUUUCGUCAAAUCAAUAAUCACUUAUUUUAUGAUGUUGUCAAUGAACACGAAUUAACACGAAUUGUACAUAUAGCUACUAUAUGAUGAUACAAAUUUCUAACCCUUGACGUAAUUUUCCGAUUAUCUCCAUUGUUUAUGAAUGCAUUGCUCCCCCUUGGUAAUCUUGUUAGACCAUACAUGUGAAAAGAAAACAUGUUUCACACAGUGACGACCUCUUGUUUAUCUUGUUUAGCAAAUCGAAAAUGCAACUUUAGGAAUGUAAUCAUUGUAAAGGCAAUUGGAGUCCUUUUCUAUCUCUAAUAUACAUUUUUUGGGUUAGCCUUAGUGUAGCAGUACAUGGUUGCUCCAUUGUAGUUGAGAUUACGAGUUCAAGCCACGGAAACAACCUCCGUGAGAAGCUAGAGGUAGGUUAUGCAUUUGAACUGCUCCUCGGACACUCGAUACGAGGAGCAUUGUGCACUGGAGCACUCUUUAUGUUUCUAGUAUGCAUUUCAUUCAUUGUCCACUUUGUCCUCAAUUUAGCUUUCUUGUGCACUAUAGAUUCUGUAUAAGGAAAAUGCUCAUCAUUCUCUUCCUAGGUCUAGCCUGAACUAAACAUAGCCGGACCUUUUGUAUGCUAAAGUAGUAUUAUUUGCAAGAAGGAUGCAUUACAUAUCUCCUUCAUUAUGCCUUUGUGAUUUAAUGAAAUAAUAGGUUUGAAGUAAUGCAUUGCUGUAAAAAAAAAAAAAAAAAUCACCUUAAAAAAAGUCAAAGUAACCUUCCAAGUUCAGCAUGAUCAGGUUGGUUGUUGGAGAAUUUGCAGCUCAAGAGUUGGACAUCACUUUUUCAAGUCACAUCAAUUGCAAGCAACCGGCUCUAUGGCAGGGCUGCUUGCACAAACCAAGGCUGGGACUUGGUCAGUUCAUGGGACUUGCGGGCUGUUCCAUGGGCUUCAUGUAGCUAGGCUUUGUGCAAUUUUUCCUUAAAUCAAAAAAUGAAAUAGUCAAAGUACAUGUUCCCCAAUAUUUGGAAAAAGCAAAAAAUAAAAGCCACUCCAAACAAAUUUUUAUACGACCAAAAAGUCAGUUUAUUGCUUGGAAAUUGUAGCAUAGGGGUAUAAUUUGUUCUUUCUCAUUGUUACACUCUCUUAUCCUGCACGAACAUUGACAAAGACAAGAUUUCUCUAGUAGAGCAUCAGACUAAUAUCAGAAGUGUCUUCUUGGACCACAAAUCUCAUACUUUUCAUCAAAAUCGCUUGUAAUAACCAUGCAUCACCUAGGUCAACUGAGGCCAGUAUGGUUGCUUUGGCUGUUUACUGAAAGCUGGUGUGGUUACUGGACAAUUAUAUAGAAAGUCCUGCUCUGAAUUGAUGCUAAAUUUGUUGUUACCCUUUAUGCCUUCUUUCCCUUGACCAUACAGAGGGAACAGUGGAAGAGGCCAAGUUUAUAUGAGAAACUGUUAUUCAGUAAGAUUUUAGACAAAACUAGUUACCCUGGCUACUCAUUACCUAUGCUUUUCUGUUGAAGUUGGAGAAGUUGGCUAGGAAAAGUUGAAUAGUUUCAGUAUUCAAAAGACAAAGUCGAGGGAGAUGUAUAUCAUUUUGGCAAUAUGAUUUGUUAAUUUCACCAUGUCAACAGCACAAUGAGUCAUAAAAAUAAUUUUUCAUUAGGUAUGAGAGACAAGGACUGCUGCUGGAGUACUUAUCCAAAGUGGUCAAUCAGUCAUAAUAGAAUGUUCUUCCCAUUUAUUAUUAUAGAGGGAGUGGUCUGGAAGUUGUAUUAUAGCCCUUGUCAUCGACAAUUGAGAAGAUUAUAGGCUUAUCUCGCUGCUAUAGUCUUAGAGUAUAGGCUUAUCUGGUGCUAUAGACUUCAUUCUGAGUUCAAUUAACUGCUGCCUUUUGCUUUAUUUUCUCAUUAUUCCUCUGUUUAUGGAAGAAGCUCUUUGAAUUGGUCAUGAUCUCUGUAUUUUGUUAUGCCAUUGUUUUGACCAUAAUAUAAUGAUUUUAUCUAUCUCUUGCGACCACAAUCUUGCCUCUAUAAUUGCGCUUCAGUUUUUCUUUCAUUGAUUUUACUCUUGGGUGAUAAUUGUACUGUCAGGUGAUAAUUGUACUGUCAUGCCUGUGACAUUGUCUAAUAGAUAGUUAUUUUCUCAAGUUGAAUAUUUUGUUGAUUUGUGCAGCAGCCACAAUCUGGAAUUUACCAGUACCUUGAUCAGGGAUGGCUCUUGAACGGAUUUGAAUCUCAUGCCAUAGAUAAUUGUUCUCUGUCGGAUACAAUUCAGCAUGAAAUUUAUUUUUGAGGAGCAAUUUCGACAUUGUAAUUGUGACCAUUUCAAAUAAAUGGCAUCAUAGUGCUAGGCUGCUAGCAAAUUUGUUGCUUUAGGGACCUUGUUUUCCCUCCUACUGAUAUCACAUAAUUUUGUAGCUUUGCUGAUCUCCAUCUGAACUCUUUUGUUAAGUAACAAUUUUUCUUGUCUAGAAUGGUUGUUUAGAUAGUGGCCUUUUGAUAUGCUAGGAAAAUUCAACUGGGAAGAAGUCCCUUUUAUGUCAUUACAAUUCGUUACAUUACUUUUACGUGGUGAUCAUGGUCUUUAUAAAAGGAUGCUUCAGAUUAAGCAAAAAAAUGUAUGGAUAUAUAAGUCUGGCGUCCUAUAUCAAUACUCAAAUGAAAAAGGGCUGAUGUGCAGACGAAAUGAAGUAAAUAUAGGAGGCAAGACUGCUAUAAGAAAAAAAGGACGGGGGAUAGUAAUGCAAGAGUGGUACUUUUCACUUCUGCAGGUCCUUCCUGCUUACAAAGAAGUCCCUUUUUUCACUUGGAAGUAAGUUCUGAUGGCCCGUGUGCUGACGAGUGUGCUACCUUAUCCUGUCAAUGCUCCACUGUGUCUUGGUAGAUACUGACAUAUUUAUGUGCAGGGAGCUUAUUUGGACCCUUAGCUGGUGCAGCUCCUGUGGAGCAGUCAUUGAAUUUACCAUCUCCACCAGUGCACACCAUGAUGCGUGCUGCAAACAACCUUUCCAGCUCAAGUGGCCUGCUACCAGCUGAGCAGACGGGUUUUCAAGCUGAAAGAUCUAGAACAGUCAAUAUCCAGUUGCCCGACGUUGGUGAAGUGGUGUUGGCUUUAAGUGCGGCUGUUCAGCCGGAAGAUGUAAUAGAUGGUCCCAAGGAUAUAAUGUCAGAUGGUGAGGAAUCCAUUGAGGUCCCAUCGGAGUGAUUGGACACCGGAAACAGGAUGGAAGGUUUGUUCCAAACUGAUCUCAUGGGUUGUGAAGAAGCUGCCUGGGCGAAUAAGUGAUUUCCUGAAGUAAAUGAUCAUGGUAUGGUAAAAACAGUUGGAAGCAAAAACCUUAUAUGCUUCAUUUAUGGUCUGUAAUAAGUCUGGUACCUGGGAACUUCUCAAUAAUUUCCAUAAUGCCGCUCAGCUAUAUGUUGAAACUCCGCAAUGCUCUAAUGUCUCUUGAGAACAUCAGUGAAUUUCAAUAGAACUUGCUGUUUUCGUAAAAUUCCUGGUAAA